GAAGGCUGCAAGGAGACAGCCUGGGCUGGGCUCGCUGUGACAGCUGGGCCUCAUGCCUGCCAUUCCCCCCGGCAGGGUCAUCCUCUCAAUAUAGGGUGCUGCUGGCAUGCCCAGGGAGCGAGGCCUCCGGCUGUCCUCCUGCAUUAGGGCAAGGCCAGCGGGGACGAGCUGGGGCAGGCGUCAGCUUGCUUCCUCUCCUUGCAUGGCCAGGGCCUGAGCCUGCCUUCUGAUUUGUGUGUAUUAUUAGGUCCCAGGGACUCCUGCUGCCUGGGUGAACCUCAGAGGGUGGGGCCAGAGGCCCACCCCAGUCUGUGGCGGGCUCCUUUCCGAACCUGAGAUUAACCAGGGUCCUCCAACCCCCUUGGAAAGACACCAGAGCCAGCGCUUCCUCCAGGCAAAUGAAGAAGCCACCUUUUGGUGCACGGCUGGGACCUUGGCCAGGCCCUGGCAGUGGAGCUGGCUGGAUUUUACUGCUCCUCACUCUGAUUUGAAUACCUGUGUGAAAAGCUGAGCACCACUGGAGAAUUCCUAAGAAACUGCGCACGCGGAGCUGGACGCACACAGCCUUGCGGGAUCCAGGGUCCGCGAGGGCAUUCGUGCACGGCUGCUGUCUUCAGCCAACUGCCAGUUUUUCUCAAAGCAGGCGCCCCACAACCCAACCUCAUUUGCAUCCCCUCACCACCUUCGGCCCCCAACUCCUGCCUCAGGAGGGCAGGGGCUCUGUGACCCAGGGGCCUGAUCUUCCACAGAGUGAAUAGCGGAAACAGGCGUAGCGAUCACCUCUGGGGUCUCUCUGCUCUGACCCCUGAAGUCCUGGACGAUUGGCUGGCGUCUCUCACCUCACGGAGCCGCUGCACCAACGUGGAUUGGGUACAAGAGUCAGGUUGGCACGCCAGCAGGAGCCUCCACAGAUAGAAGUCUUUGGUGAUCCUGCAGAAAACCAGCAUCCAGGGAUCCACAGUGCUACAAUGGGAUGGCAGCUUAGAACUGGUAAGACAGCACUUGCCUUUCCAUCAUCUCAAACUCUGAUGUAGAGACUGCUGUUCUCAUUUCACAAAUAACAGUCUUUUUUUUUCCUUUUUUCUUUCUUUUUUGAGAGCUUGAUGUCUGGCAGAGUUUGUGCUAGGCUCCUUCUCCGGAAUGGCAGCUGAAUCCUGGUCCUCUUCCUCCCCCACCCUCCAGCAGCUGGGGCAGUUUGCCCAAACUGCUUCACUUCAUCUGUGCCUCCAUUUCCUUCUCUGUAGCAGAGAAUAAUAGUGUUGCUGUCCUUCAAUUGCUCCAAGCAGGACAGGAGAUGGUGUUCAUAAGGUCCUUACAAUGGUGCCAAGCACACCUGAGGCCCCCACGGCAUCCCCUGGACACAGGUAUUUGUAGCUGGCUCUUAGGGGUCACUUGUCUUCACACAGAUAGUAACUUGAAUUGGAUUUGCUUGAGUCGUGUGUAAUAAUUGAUUGUUGGGCAACUGAUUUUCAGCAAGACCACUCAAUGCAAAGAGAACAGUCUUUCAACAGUUUUGGGAAAACUGGAUAUUCACAUGCAAAGAGAAGAGAGUGUCCUACCUUACUCCAUAUACAAAAAUAAACUCAAAUUAGCUCAUAAGCCUAAAUGUAAGAGGUAAAACUAUGAAACCUUAAAAAAUUUAUUUAUUUGAAAGAAUUACAUACACACACACACACAGAGAGAGAGAGAGAGAGAGAUCAUCCAUCUACUGGUUCACUCCCCAAAUGGUCACAACAGGUGAGUGCAGGGGCCUGAGCACUUGGGCCAUCUUCCACUGCUUUCCCAGGUGCAUUCAACCAGAAGCUAGAUCAAGAAUGGAGCAGCUGGGACUCAAACAGAGACCCUGUGGGCUUUAUCCGCUAUGCCACCACACCAGUCCGCUGUUAUGUUUGUUUUUUUUUUUUUUUUUUUUUUUUUUUUUCUAAGAGACCCAGAGUUGGGGCCAGCAUUGUGGUGUAGUGGGUUAAGCCAUGUUCUGAGGUUCUGGCAUCCCAUAUGGACACCAGUUCAAGUCCCGGCUGCUGCACUUCUAAUCCAGCUCCCUGCUUAUGUGCCUGGCAAAGCAAUGGAAGACGGCCCAAGUCUUUGGGUCCCUGCACCUACAUGGGAGACCUGGAGGAAGCCCCUGGCUCCUGGCUUCAGACCAGCCCAGCUCUGGCAGUUGCAACCAUUUGGAGAGUGAAACAGGAUGGAAGACCUCUCUCUCUCUCUCUCUCUCUCUCUCUCUCUCUCCCCAUCUCUCCCUCUUCCUCUCUGUAAACUCUGUCUUUCAAAUAAAUAGAUCUUUUAAACAACAGCAAAUAUUUCUGACCUUACAUUACGCAAUGUUUUUUUCAGAGACGACACCAAAAGCAUGAGUAGCAAAAAAAAAAAAAAAAAGAUAAAUUUGACCUCAUCAAAAUUAAAAAGUUUUGGGCUCCAAAAAGGAGACCAUGAAGAAAAUGAACAGGCAAUCCACAAAACUGAAGAAAAUAUUUACAAAUCAGGGCCGGCAUUGUGGUGUAAUGGGUUCAGGUACCACCUGCAGCACCGGCAUCCCAUGUGGGUGCUGUUUCCAGUGCCAGCUUCUCCACUGCCCAUCCAGCUCCCUGCUAAUGUGCCCAGGAAAGCAGCAGAGGAUGGCCCCAAGUACCUGGGACCCUGCACCCAUGUGGGAGACCUGGAAGAAUCUCCUGGCUCCUGGCUCCAGGCUUCAGCCUAGGCUAACCCUGGCCAUUGGCAGAUGGAAGAUUUCUCUGUGUCUCUCCUUCUCUCUUUGUAACUCUACCUUUCAAAUAAAUAAAUCUUUUUUUUUUUUUUUUUUUGACAGGCAGAGUGGACAGUGAGAGAGAGACAGAGAGAAAGGUCUUCCUUUUGCCGUUGGUUCACCCUCCAAUGGCCGCCGCGGCCGGUGCGCUGCGGCCGGCGCACCGCGCUGAUCCGAUGGCAGGAGCCAGGAGCCAGGUGCUUUUCCUGGUCUCCCAUGGGGUGCAGGGCCCAAGCACUUGGGCCCUCCUCCACUGCACUCCCUGGCCACAGCAGAGAGCUGGCCUGGAAGAGGGGCAACCAGGACAGAACCGGCGCCCCGACCGGGACUAGAACCCGGUGUGCCGGCGCCGCAAGGCGGAGGAUUAGCCUAGUGAGCCGCGGC